CCUUCCCAAAUAUACAACAACAAAAAACUUUCCACAAAUGAAAGUGGCUGCGAUCAUUGGCUCGGUGUUUGAGGGAAAGGUGGUAGUGGUAACUUUUCAACUUCAACCCAAAUUUGAUUUGAGUUGUUUCUGUUGACGUUGCGCUGUGGUGUGUUGUGUUGUGACGUGAGCACUAGGAAAAGCUGAAAAACUUUUGCAUUGCAUCGAAAAGUAUUGUUUGCCGAUGGAUGCCUGGCGAGGAGGUGUUGAAAACGCAAAAGAGCUUAUGAAACAUACAACAGAUGUGCGCUUUUGUGUUCGCCUUUUUCCUUUAAAUCGAGUCAACAUUUUAUAUGUUUAAGACAUUAAACGGAUUAAGAAGU
rnacentral:sRNA from 1 species